GUUAUCCGGAUUCACUGGGUUUAUAGGGUGCGUAGGGGGUCUGUUAAGUCAGUGGUGAAAUCUCCGGGCUCAACCCGGAAACUGCCAUUGAUACUAUCUGUCUUGAAUAUCGUGGAGGUAAGCGGAAUAUGUCAUGUAGCGGUGAAAUGCUUAGAUAUGACAUAGAACACCAAUUGCGAAGGCAGCUUACUACCAGAAUAUUGAAACUGAGGCACGAAAGCGUGGGGAUCAAACAGG
rnacentral:rRNA from 1 species